rnacentral:lncRNA from 1 species
GUGAACAUCACACCGGGCUGACGAGUUACGUGGUUUCUGCAAUGUAAUUAUGGAAUGAUGACAGGCAACUGUGAGGUCACAGCAAUCGCCGGAGGUCCCCGGAAUGCCUGGCUAUGGCAGAUGCUUAAUGGCUGUUUGUGCAGUGAAUGAAUGAACUUUCCUAAACAGAGAACAUGCAGUAAUCGUACACUUUGAGGGGGACAGAUAGAGAAACAGCUGUAUGAAGGAUCUUUGUCCUUUAUGAUUCUUUCAACCUGCACCUAGCCAGGUUGGGCUGCAGAUCUGACUUUAGAGCAUUUGGGCAGAGGUGUGGGGAGGCUCCCGAAGCCCCCGAGAGUCCAUGAAGCCCCAGGCCAAGUUGCUGAGUGUUCAAGCUCUGGCCACGGAGCUUGCUGACCCCAGAAAGCUAAAUCAAAAAGGCUUACAAUCCAUGGGUCCAAGGCGGAGGCUGGAAGGACAGGGGCUUGCAGGGAAGACAAGAGCAGCUGAGCCUGGAGGCCUGGCCUUGGAGGCAACCAGCUGUGUGGCUGGGGGCUGCCAUCCGAGUCAGUCUUUUCAUCUGUAAAGUCAACAGUCUGGCAAAAUCCUCCCUGAAGUCCCUUCCAACUCCAAAAAUGUAGUCUAAUAAAUAAUAAAGUAGCAGAAGAA